GCAAGUCAGGGGUAGGGUUACUUCGGUAUCUGAGACCCGCGCACGGGUGCGUAACGCGUAUGCAAUCUACCUUUUACUAUGGGAUAGCCCAGAGAAAUUUGGAUUAAUACCAUAUAGUAUAUUUGAAUGGCAUCGUUUGAAUAUUAAAGAUUUAUCGGUAAAAGAUGAGCAUGCGUCCCAUUAGUUAGUUGGUGUGGCAACGGCAUACCAAGACGAUGAUGGGUAGGGGUCCUGAGAGGGAGAUCCCCCACACUGGUACUGAGACACGGACCAGACUCCUACGGGAGGCAGCAGUGAGGAAUAUUGGUCAAUGGAGGCAACUCUGAACCAGCCAUGCCGCGUGCAGGAUGACGGUCCUAUGGAUUGUAAACUGCUUUUGUACGGGAAGAAAACAAACUACGAGUAGUUAAUUGACGGUACCGUAAGAAUAAGGAUCGGCUAACUCCGUGCCAGCAGCCGCGGUAAUACGGAGGAUCCAAGCGUUAUCCGGAAUCAUUGGGUUUAAAGGGUCCGUAGGCGGCCUUAUAAGUCAGUGGUGAAGUUUUGGCUUAACCAAAAAUUGCCAUUGAUACUGUAGGGCUUGAUAUCUGUGAAGUAACUAGAAUAUGUAGUGUAGCGGUGAAUGCUUAGAUAUUCAUGGAAUACGAUUGCGAAGCAGNUACUACNAAUGAUUGACCUGAUGGACAAA
rnacentral:rRNA from 1 species